UUAUUAUCGGGAACAGUGAUUUCCAUAAUGU
rfam:Gasterosteus aculeatus cont1.005422, whole genome shotgun sequence.